rnacentral:lncRNA from 1 species
UCCUUCUGCUUUUCCCGGGCCAGGUCUGGCCUUAAUGUUCCUGAACCACUAUGGCAGGCGAAGGCAGACUUGGGGAUGUUCCUGGGCCUCUCUGCCGGGUCGGGUUGGGGUUUGGUCAAUGACGGAUCUAGGGAUGCUCAGUCCAAUGGGCCUGCAGGUCCGUAUGUUCUCGUUGAGCCACUCCAGUGGAUCUGGGGAUGCUCAUCUAUACUCCCCCAACUUCUUGUACCAAUAAAUACAUUGAUGUCUUCCCUUAUUUUUCAUAAUUGAACUAAUCAUGUUUUCUUUUGCAAUCAUCGAGGAGUUGGGUCGUGAGUUAGUGCACCAAUAGCUAGACUGUCUGGUCGGAGUGCCUGAUCCUCCUCGAAGUUGAGCUUAAGGCUCAUGCCGCUAUUGAGAGUCAUCGGUUGAACUGCUUACUGCUUGCGGUGCACUGUCGUUUGGCCUCCAUCCGUCAGGUUGAUGCAGAUUCGGUUGUGUUGGGGCAUGUGACUCGAGCCACUUCGUCUACUCAACAUGUUUUGCCCUCUUCUCCUUGUGGUUGAUCCCCUGCCCCUCGCUGUAAUGCUCGGGGAAUUCUCGGGUUGUUAUUUCUCCGGUCCGGACUAUCCCUCCAGGGGACCCGAUCCCAACUUACUGCGGUGGCAGUUGUAUUGGAACAAGUGGUGUUCGCGAAUGGUAUUGAUGGUACCCCUGGUCUAUCAGCCCAAGCCCACACAAGAGCCCAGAAGCAAGGCCCUAUAAAGUGAAUAGAAGGUGAUAAUCUAAAUGGCCCCGCGGAUAUUAACCCGACCGGGUAAAACAAGCGGAUCUUCCGGGCCGGGCGGUUACUUCUCCAAGAGACGUGUUCCAGAACCGUCGAGUCCAAUAAGUCCUAUCCACCCGAGAACGCGGGACCUAAAAUCCGAUAGGAAGUUGUAUAAAUACCCCUAGGGGUGAAGUGUCUAGGGGGGGAAUAACGGUUGUUAUUACAAUUAUACUAUACGAUUUGUGGGCUUUCCCUAGGGACAAUCAGGUAUUAACAUCGAAUCAUUCAAUAACAGUGCACAUACAACAUCAACAACUUCUC